GCGUUCUCUCCUCUCCUAGCGGUGCUUCCUCAUUCUUUCCUGUCGUCUUCUUCAAGCCACUGUCUUCGUUGUGCACUUCCUCAGUGUCGUCCUAUGUCACCUCCGUGGGUCUUCUAAUUUUGUCACUCCUCUUGUACUAGCUGUCCACUACUAAGAGCUAAUGUAGCUAUUCACAUGUUUACGGGAAGCCUAAACACGUAUUCCCUCCGAAAACUAUGUUCUUUGCUUCUAUUCUUCCUUUAUAUAUGUUGUCACAUUUUCAUACUUGCACUUUCGGGCCAAAUUCGAACCACCGCCUUUGUGGAAAUUCUUCUUCCACGAUGUAGUCUCAAAGACUCUGUUCGAUUGCUUGGGUAUUAGAGUAUGCUGGUAAAUCUCACACCCAAUGAGAUCUCGACAAUUGUCACCGAUAACUCUUCCACUCUACACGCUAUGCUCAUGAUACAACUCAACGACCGAGUUAGAACCGGCAAGGGAAGUCAGUAUUUUGUUUAUGCAUUUGAAAUAGCGGCAGGAAAGAAAUUUGAUUCGCUCCCCAAGGUAUAUGUUGUUACUGUAGCAGCCGAGAUGUUCCUGUUGCUGAAGUGUCAGAAAAGCGCUAUAAUAUAGAGCAUUUGAGUAGCCCCGAACUGGUGGCAUUCGAGUAUGAGGACUUGGGUCAUGUGAGAAUCAAGCAACAUGUCAAUCCCCUUUGUUCCUCUUUCUCCGUACCCACACAAGAUCCAAACUAGAACCAAGUCUUUAGGGAUCUAACAUUACUACUCAUGGUCGACAUCAGAUGUGGUAACUUGUUUGCUUCUGUGGUAAAAUCUGCUUGCAACAUCUAUCCUUGUUAAUUAUUAGUAAUUAGAAGUGGUGCUUUGUAUGGAUGUUGUGGACUGAGGUCUGUGCCAUCUAUGCUGAUAUGAUAGAUAGUAAAGUAGAUGUUUGCCCUCUUCUGAAGGUAACAUUGUUAUUUGCUUUCUAUGUCAUGCACUUAAUUGUGUCAAUGGGUUCUACUUUUAACAUUGAUAUUCAUAUGAUGGUAUGAGUGCUAAUUAUUCAUAGUGGAACUUUGAAUCAUGUAAAUUGCAUGGUGUUGGUAUGGUGAAAUUUCUCUCUUCAGUUGGCCCAACUCAAUUCUACACUACAAAUCAGACAUACUUCAUAUACAUUUGCAUACACAAACUGUAGACUUAUUCCUUUUAAAUAUGCCAGAUACACCUUAGGAGAGAUGAUCAUAACUAAGAAAAAAUGCAUUUAUCUGAAAUUACAUGCUAAUGAUGCUAUCCAAUGAACAUUUAUUCUAUGCAUGAUUUACCCUGUGCAAUAUAUUACUGUAACAUCAACAUCUUGUUCACUCUUUCCCUUAAUUUCUUCCCUUUUUUAUAGUAGUAUAGGUAGAUCAGAAAGUUGAAAGUUUAUUUGGUCUUUUUAUCCUUAUUACAUUACUUUUCUAUUUAUACUCUCUAAAGUCUGAAUUAUAGUCUAAAAUACAAUUUACUAGAUAUAAUCAAAGUUAGUUGUUCCUUUUGAUAUUUUAAAGUUUAAACUCUCUGAACUAUAGCUAUAACCUUGUUUUUUAAGGCAUUCUUUCCAUUUAUGGACACUGAAAGUUGUUUCUCAUAGAACUAUCUGGUGCUACAAGUGUAGACAUUCCUUCAACUUUCUGUUAUUAUGAUUUAAAAUUUCGAUGCCGUAGCUUCAAGGGUCUUUAGCUGGUGGUGCUUCAAGGCUACAAGGUUGUUGACGUACAAAUGGCUAAGGUACUUCUAUGUUUACUCAAUUUUAAACAUCGACAUGAAGUAAAGAAGAGCUGUAUAUCUAAUAUUGCUUCAGAAUUUCCAGAGGCGUGUAAAUUUUAUCCAGCUGAUACAAAGGAUGAGCUUCACAAGUUCUGAUGGAUCUUCAAAGGGUAGAAGCUUAAGGUUCGUCACGGCUUAGAAGUUUUGAACUGAUUCUGAUUGAUCUCUGAUAUCUGAACUAACAAAGAAAAAGUGGCCAUAUAAUUUAUUUGAGAAAAGAAAAAAGUCAUCGAGAGUAAUAAAUUUAAGUGAGAUAGUUAAUUAUAUAUGUAUCUAGGUUGGCGUUUUGUAUAUUGAUAUUAAUAUUAAAACCAAUAAUUCAGGUCAAACUCGACAGGUCAACUUGAAUAAACCUAAAAAAAAUUGGGACAAGCUUGAUAGGGUUCAAACUUAGUCCAAAUCC